rnacentral:lncRNA from 1 species
UAUUUUGCAUGGUACAGUUUUUUAUGAUGUCAUUCAUCGCAGUGUUACGAUCGGCGGUUGUCGGCACCGCUUUCGAGGAAACCAGCGCUUUACCGAACGACUCGCAACGAUGGUGGAGGUGGAGGUUAUUGCGGCGACAGCAUUAUGUCUUGCCAAUAUAAAUAAUUAUUUAAUGUUUUCAAAAGAAAUCAAAAACGCCGUCGUCAAAGAAGAUGGUGGAUGAAAGAAAUUCGUCGCAAUAGAACGACCUAAGUAAAUAUGUACCUACUACAUACAACAAAGUGUAUAAAUGUGAAUAUAGGAUAUUUAUAAUUUUAUAAAAAUAUAAAAGAUAUAAAAAUUA